AGGGAAAGGCGAAAAGAACCCCGGCGAGGGGAGUGAAAAAGAACCUGAAACCGUGUACGUACAAGCAGUGGGAGCCCCACCACCAAAGCAUUCUCUGGUGUUGAAGGCCCUGCAAAGCAGCAUCGCGGUGGCGGAGCGUCGUUUGCGACGCCCAACACACAAAACAAGCGGUGAAUGCUUUGGGGUGGGGUGACUGCGUACCUUUUGUAUAAUGGGUCAGCGACUUAUAUUCUGUAGCAAGGUUAACCGAAUAGGGGAGCCGGAGGGAAACCGAGUCUUAAUUGGGCGUUAAGUUGCAGGGUAUAGACCCGAAACCCGGUGAUCUAGCCAUGGGCAGGUUGAAGGUUGGGUAACACUAACUGGAGGACCGAACCGACUAAUGUUGAAAAAUUAGCGGAUGACCUGUGGCUGGGGGUGAAAGGCCAAUCAAACCGGGAGAUAGCUGGUUCUCCCCGAAAGCUAUUUAGGUAGCGCCUCGUGAAUUCAUCUCCGGGGGUAGAGCACUGUUUCGGCUAGGGGGCCAUCCCGGCUUACCAACCCGAUGCAAACUGCGAAUACCGGAGAAUGUUAUCACGGGAGACACACGGCGGGUGCUAACGUCCGUCGUGAAGAGGGAAACAACCCAGACCGCCAGCUAAGGUCCCAAAGUCAUGGUUAAGUGGGAAACGAUGUGGGAAGGCCCAGACAGCCAGGAUGUUGGCUUAGAAGCAGCCAUCAUUUAAAGAAAGCGUAAUAGCUCACUGGUCGAGUCGGCCUGCGCGGAAGAUGUAACGGGGCUAAACCAUGCACCGAAGCUGCGGCAGCGAACGUAUCACCCAAGACAACUUUACGGAGUUGACGAUUGACGGAGCGAAGCGACGUCAAAGCGUUCAUUAAAGUCGAGUUGGCUUAGGGAUACGUUCGUUGGGUAGGGGAGCGUUCUGUAAGCCUGUGAAGGUGUGUCGUGAGGCAUGCUGGAGGUAUCAGAAGUGCGAAUGCUGACAUAAGUAACGAUAAAGCGGGUGAAAAGCCCGCUCGCCGGAAGACCAAGGGUUCCUGUCCAACGUUAAUCGGGGCAGGGUGAGUCGACCCCUAAGGCGAGGCCGAAAGGCGUAGUCGAUGGGAAACGGGUUAAUAUUCCCGUACUUGGUGUUACUGCGAAGGGGGGACGGAGAAGGCUAUGUUGGCCGGGCGACGGUUGUCCCGGUUUAAGCGUGUAGGUGUGUGUUCCAGGUAAAUCCGGUUCACUUUAACACUGAGGCGUGA
rnacentral:rRNA from 1 species